CUUAUUGAUGAAAUAUCCAGCAGUGAUGCAGCCCAGGGAGGUCAGUAGGGUGCAAUUACAGGCAGAGCAGGCUUGGGUGUGCUUCUGAACUACUCCUCCCUGCACAGCUCUUUCAGUAUGCAUAUCACAUCUCCCUGCUUGUAGCAGGCUGAUGAGUGUGUGCAGUUAGUGCAGGCACACACAUACUUCUGCGCUUUCCCUGAAAGUGGAGCAUUAGCAACUGCAGUCAAAAAGCACCCUUGCUUCUUCAGCUCUGAUUCUAGCAGCAACUGUCUGAUUCUGUCUGGAGGAACUGGGAGACAGCACUGGAGGCAAGUUUAAAACGGACCUAGUGACACCCAGCUGUCACAUCUGGCUUCAUGCAUCUACUUAUUACCAAUCCACUUACAAUUACUUUCCUAGUCCCAUCAGUAGUGUACGUUCUUGAGAACUGUCUGGCCGGGAAGGAAGGAGCACACUGCUGAAGUCUCUCAGGAUCAGCUGUUUGUGUUUAGAGAGAAGAAUGAUGUUUAAACUGCCUGUUCCUGUUCACUGUAGAGCCCACAUGAGCUAAAAGGAGAUGUGACAGUUGCAAACUCUUGGUCAGAGUUUCAACACAAACAACCUGGAGAGCAGGAAUAAGAGGUAAUGUACACAUCCUGGAUCAGUCCAGUUUAUUUCCUUUUUUAACCUAAAGACUUUAAGAAGAACAACUCAUUCUCAAGGGAAGUUAACAUUAUAUUUUUGAGGGAUUAAAACUAACAUUUCUGGUCUACAUACUCUCAGAUUAUCUUCCUUUGUUGUUCAUAAUUUGCACUGUUUCCAGAAACUCCAAAUGUGUAUAUCCCUUUAAGGCCAGCCACUUUCCCAUACAAGUAAGAAAGACCACACUAAAAAACACUGAUCUUGAAAAAACUAGUGAAUAUUUUUGUGUGUGUACAUAUAUACACAUAUGUUUUUAUAUUCAGGACCUACAGGAUAAGAUGAAUUCAUGGAAAUAAUCUCCAGCUUUCCUCAAAUAUCAGAUCUCUGCUAUAAAUAUGCUAACAUAGCAAACAAAAGAAAUACUCCUGCAAUUCCUACAGUUUGACUGAUCUCUGAGUAGUGCACUUAACAGUAUACCUUGUCAAAACCUUCACCCCUUAUGCAGUUUGACUGUUAUUUCUACAUAUUUACUCAUCCUUGUUGUUUGCUCUUGCCUAUAUGCUCUCUUAGUCUUAGCUGCAAAGCCCUUGGGGUAGGACAUACUCUGGAUUUGGCAGUGCUUGGGUCAUCAGUCCUACUAUACGUAAGACAAGAAUGUUUUAUGCUUAAUUACGGUAAAAUCACAAAGAAAUUACUAAUGGAGGCUGGAAUUGUUCUUUGCUCUGAUUAGCUUUUUUAAAAUCUCUGGAGAAAACAGCACAAUUAACAGGAAAUUGCUUAUAAAAAUUUGCCUGGGAACAACAGCAUCUUUAUCCCAUGUGGCUUUUCAGGGAAAUGAAAAAGCUGUCUCUGCAGAGUGAAAAGUGCAACACAGUGGUUGGUCCACGGGGAUCCUGAAACAGAAACAGCCACAAGUCACCAAUUCUUUAGUGGCAUUGAAUAACAUGUCACAUUACAUCCUUACUGACAAAUAAUAGAGACAUUUUUGAUACUGCUCACUACACUUUAAUCAGACUUUGCCAAAUGUACAGUAUGUGAGUGUGGCAUCAGUUGCAAGUGUUAAGAGCUGGUAAGAAACCAAAUGAUUAGAUUUCUCACCCUGGAAACAUGUUGUGAUGAGACUUUUCAUUUCAUUCUCUUUCAUUAUUAUUUUUUUUUCUCCAGAGCAGGAAUGCUGCAGAUGUGUUUGGAUAGCACCUGCCUUUAAGAAAAGGAAGGUGUUUUUUUUGUAUGGAAAUCUUGAGUAGCCUUACCAAAGCAAUUGUAUAGUAGCUGAAGGAAAGUAACUCUUCGAAAUGCAGGCUGAGACAGCAUUUGACCUCAUUGCAGACCAGGAAGCUGGGAGCUCCUUCCUGAAAUAUAAAGGGAGAAUUUGUCUCCAGUCAUGACUCUUUAUGAUUCAACAUUUAAGAAGCUGUAAAGUCAGAUUCACAGCAAUAAACUCAGAUUUCAUGGUGUUUGUUACAUAGAUCUGGAGGUUUUCUGGAAUUCAGUUGAGGGAACAACUGCCUAGAAUUUACUUAGCAUUAUUAGCACUAUGAUGCUGGCUACUACAGCACACUGUAAGAAUAUGUGCCAAAGGGAUUAUUUUCUUCCUUCUGUUUACACUGUUCUAACAACUCCAGGGUCCAGACAGAAACCACAUAAAUCAACUUUUGUAUCUCUAUCACUCGAUUGGAAUUACAUCAUUUGGUGUCCUGUUGUUAACAAAAAGGACCUACCCUAAUAAUACUGUAAAAAAAGACCAAAUUUUCAAUAGAGAAAGAUCACAGGAUCACAGAAUCGUAGGGGUUGGAAAGGACCUCUGGAAAACAUCUAGUCCAACCUCCCAGUAAAGCGGGCUCUCUAGAGCUAGAGAGCCUGCUUAUCUCCUACUCUCUAGAGUAGAAGCUCAGAUUGCUGAGCACCUACUUCUUUCCUCCUCAGCAAGAGCAAAGCAUAGGAGAACAUAUAUAUAUAAAAGAUAAUUCAGCCUUACACCAGAAUGUUAUUCUUUCUCACAAAUAUUUCAAGUUUCAUAUGAAAUCACCUGCUCUAGAGAGAAAAGGAAAAUUCAGGAACAAAGCUAACUUUUCAAGUCCACAUAUUCCCAGAUUAUCUUCCAUUGUUGUUCAUAAUUUGGCUUGUUUCCAGAAACUCCAAAUAUGUAGAUCCUUUUAAUGCCAGUCACUUUCCCAUUCAAGUAAGAAAGACCACCCUAAAAAACUUAAUCUUAAAAAAACUAGUGAAUAUUUCUAAUUAUGUGUAUAUAUAUGUACGUAUAAAUUUUUAUAUUCAGGACCUACAGGAUAAAAUGCAUUUGUAGAAAUAAUCUCUAGCUUGUGUUAGAUACCUUAAAUUGGCCAGAGGAAUAAUUUCUUAAGAUCCUGCUGUUGAUCAGGGCUGUGAUUUAGUUACUCUCACAUGGAUGGCUGCUGUUGGAGAUGCCUAAGGUUAAAACAACUUCUCAGAUUUUGCUACGUACCUCUGUGUAGAAAACUGCAAUCCAUCAGACAUAUUGAUGCAUAUGUCUGACACAGACCAAAUUUGGCUCCAGAAAUCCACAGUGCAGAUUCCUUAGAUUACCUGAAUUUUUCCUUGUCUUAAAUCACUUUCCAAUGCAAAAGUGUUUAUUAAGAAUGAAAACAUCUGCAGGUUUCUGAAUCCACAACAUUUGAGACUAUGACAUGGAAGAUUUGGAUAACCAGAGAAUCAAUUUUGUGCUGUUGCUGGAUUUUAUGCUGAGCCUUUUAUAACGAAAUAAAUGUGAAAAACAUUAAUUUAAUCAGAGUUUGUUGUCAUGUGGAAAUAUUAGAUAUUUUUCUUUCCAACAUCUUUUCAACCCUAAAAAAAAAGUAAAAUGCUCUUUGCUUCAAAGCAUUCAUCUCUGAUUUCUGGUAUGAAUUUCAAUUUACAAUAUCAACACAAAGAAAAUAGUUAUCAUGUAGUUUACAAUAGCAGCAAAAAGCAUUGUCAUUUUUUCUGAAUGUGAGCAUACACUAUGAAAUUAGUUCCUUCAUCAAAGAGUUUACACUGUAAGUUUAAAAUAAUGAUAACAGGUGGAUUCAAACAGAUGGGAAGAGAAUAAGUUAUUAGCAUUGGUACAGUACACUAGAGAAAAUGUGUUGUUGUUUAAGCACUGACUGAUUAACAACUCAUUUAAAUAUUCUUGGUGCAUAUGUUUCAAACAAUAAUAUACUGCAAAACCCAGAAUAGGUUUUACAUGUAGAGGAAAGACUUCAUAAUAUAGACUUUGGAGCAGGCCUUUGGAAACAAUUUUUUAGAUAUAUUUCCCUUAAGAAAGUAGAAAAAAAAGUAUCAACAACAACAACAAAAAUCCUCUUUAAGUGAAUGAAACACUAUUCUACAUAAAGACUUUUGUUCUAUAUGCAAUCUGCAUGUUCUUUGUUUAUCUUGACAAUUCCCAUCAGUGUACACCCAGCUUAGCUACUAUUAAUUUUUAAUUCCAGUCUAGUUGUACUUAAAUGCACUUAGAUUCAUUUCACCUACUUGGACAUCUUAAGAUCUUAAAUUAGGAGCUUCUUCACUGAAGAUACCUAUACUGAAUGCACAUUUCAUAGCUCUCCCUUUUUAUUACAUAUGUAGAAAUGAUUUUGAAGAUUUAAUGUUACCUGUUUCUCAGGAAGAAGCUUAAAUAACAUUGUGGGCUAAAAGAUCUAUUCAUAAAUAGAACCUGGGACAUGAGGACUAAAACAAACAGAAAGGAGGCAAGCAGAAGAGGAAUUUUCCCAGAUGCAAUCAUUAGCUGCAGAGUAUCACUAUUAAAUAUUGCUCAAGAAUGGAAUCAAUGGAUAUUUCCCAAAAUCAAGCUUAUGUCACAGGCUAGUACUAAUGUUACAGUCAGCUCAUUAGGAAAGAUGACAUUUUAAUAAUAACUUUCAUGAGCUACAACUCUACUCUGAAAAUAUGAGCAACUUGACAUGAACACGUGCUACAUGAUCACUCAGUCCUAUGUUUUCUCAGCCUCAUAGAUCUACUCAAGGGAUAUAAACGUAGACUGCCUUGGAAUUCUGAUAUUUACUACAAAUAUGAUAGUUAACGAUACAUUAUUUGUACUUAAUUGCCACUGUGGUUCAUUUAAUACUUAAGUGCCUUUAGAAAUUUGUCCACUUUAGGAUCUUAAAUUAGAUGUGGUUGCUAGAUGAUCUUUAAGAUCCCUUCCAACUCAAAGUAUUCUGUGAUUCUAUGAUUCUGAGGUCAUAUUUAACUUCAUAAAACUUUUGAGAAUUUUUAAGGGAAAAUCAAUAAUGAAAGGAUCCUUGUGCAGAUGUCUCAAGCUUCAUUUGGAAGGAUUGCAUCUUAGCACAAUUAAGGAAUACUAGUUUAGGUAGAAGAUCUUACAGACACUGAGACAAAUUACUGAGGAAACUUUCAUAGAAGAAGUAUUAAGUAGUCUCUAGACUUUUGUAUGAGUGUAGUUCUAUAUAUUUUCUCUCAUUAUAUUAAUUGCUGUUGACAAAAAGGAGUUCUAGCUCUGUUGUAGAAAAUAGUUUCUGUCAACAAGCUGAAAGGCAGAGGUCUCACUGAGAAGCAGAGCAUAAGCUAACGUGCCCCCAAAGAGCAAUGAUGGGGUAUGUGGCAAUGCUAGUUCUGUUAAUGGAAAGAUUACCUUAUUAUGCUGGUAAUGUUUCUACAAGAAAUUGAUAGCAUUUUCCUGAAUGAUUAUACAUUACUACCUGCCCCACAUAAUGCUAAACCAACUUCAGUCUUGUGGAACACAGUCAUUCCAGUAACUCUAGCAGAACCUUUAGUCACUUGAUUUCUCAAGAUUAAUUGUUGUUAGAGGAAAUCUUGGUUACACUGCUUGUAAGUUAAGUUGGCCUAUCAUAUCUCACAUGAAACACAUGCUUUUUAGUGGUUAAAUAGAGCCUUUGAGAUGGGGUUAAAUCUGUAAUCGAGAUAUUAACCCAGCUUAUUUUUUACUUUUUUUUUUCUUUUUUUCAAAAAAUUGUAGAGUCAUUUCUCUAAACAAAAUUAGGGAGAAAUACAUACAGCUAUUUAUCUUAAAAGUGCAUUUGUAUUCUCCGCUGUUUGAUGAGAUAGGAAAAUGUAGUCUUCAAUUUACUGCACACAGUCCGUCACAUCUGCUCCUCUGCCCUUGCUGACUUAAUCCACAAAGUGAAUGAAUUAUGUUUAUUCCCAGACUCUUUCAGAACUGGAGACAAAAUUUCUGUAGAAGGCUUACUCACUGUUACUGUCUACAUUAAUGAAUAAUGAAAGAAGAGCUUACACAAACACAGUGAUACCUUCUGAGCUUUUAUAAUGAAGUUUUAUUCUUCUUUCAUAGGUGUGUCUCUCUAUGUUUCUUACAUAUUAACACAAAUUAAAAAUCAAGUCAGAGCAACAACAAAUAAACAUUCAAAAUUAUUAUAUUCCACUGACAUUUCACCUUUAGCUCUGUGAAGUUCUCUUCCUGAAUUAAAGUCAUUUGAGUUACAAGAAAAGAUUUUAUCGUAUUUUUACCAAUUUGUGUUAAGCUGGAAGCUAGCAUGUACAGAGCUUUGUCAUCCCCUCAGUAGACAUUGGAUCAUUUAAGCUCCACUUUCUUGUUUGAUUACUAGUAUAGUCCCCAAAAGAAAAAAAUCUUGAUGAAAUCACAGAAUCAUAAAAUCAUUAAGGUUGGAAAAAGCCUUUAAGGUAAUCUAGUCCAACCUUCAACCCAUCCCUACCAUGCCCCUCAGUGUCACAUCUCCAUGGUUCUUGAACACUUCCAGAUAUGGUGAAUCCACCACCUCCCUGCGCAGCCUGUUUCCAUGCGUAACCACUCUCUCUGAGAAGAAAUCUUUCUUAAUGUCCAAGCUGAAUGUCUCCUGGUGCAACCUGAGUCCAUUAUCUCUCAUCCUGACACUGUUAUCUGGGAGAAGAAGCCAACCUCCAUUUCACUACAACCUGCUUUCAGAUAGAUAAAGUCUCCAGUUUAAUAUGAAAACUCAUACUGGUCUUCCUGAUGUCACACAAAAAGAUGCUUUGGUAUUUUUUCCAUAUUUCUGUGGGCUGAUAUCUGGUAUGAUAAUAUCUGAGAUUACUUGAGGGAAAAUGGAUGCUCAUCCCAUUUGCAACACCAGUAAAUUCAAUUUGUCUCAACAAAAUACAAAUGUAGAAAGAGCAAUUACAAAAAGUUGUUAGACACCUUGACUAUAUUCCUCUCACAAACAUACAUUAUAUAGGCCAUCUAUUCUCUGUAGCUUGCUCUGAAAGCAGUGCCUCCUAUUUAUUACCAUGGAAACUGUCACAGCUACAAAGAGCACAAUAACACUAUUUGAUGGGAGCAAAAUCUCAGCUAUAAAACACACUUUUUCAACAUAAUCACCACCAUUAGCCAAUUUAUGCAGAUUAGCUAAUUUGAAUGUUCUUUAUUUCAUGGUGUAAGUGCUGUGCAUGGCUGCCCAGAAUGUGGUUUGUAUUUCAUGUCACUGUCACCACUGUUGAAAUACAACACCCACUGCCUCACUGUGCUCACAUCCACUGUUUGGUCUCUAUAAACAUUCAUCAAGUGCCAGUGAAUAUCAAUGGGUGCAAUUUUUUCCACAUUCAGUAACAUACCUUUGCUUCAUACAUGCUUCCAUGUCAGACACCAUUUUGUCAGAAUGCUUCUCUGCUACCAUUUGUCACAUGGCAACAAAAUGUAAUGGAAUAUUGGCAGGAAGGUCCAAACUCUGCUGCCAUCCCAUCAACAUCCACAUCUGAUAUCAUGAGUCAAUAUAAUAAAAUAGGAAGCAUUGCUUUCAGAGCAGCCCUCACAUAGACGUAGAGUAAGAUUUUAUCCAUCAGUCCUUGGGUAGACUUUCGGCUCAUAAAUUUGAAUAUAUUUCACAAAUAUCUGUGGGGACAACAUUACUAUGGGAAGGACUUUGAGACUAUGUUUACUUUGGAGAUUAAAUUCAGAGAGGACAUUAUAAAGGAGGUGUCUGAUGAUCUGAAGGGGAAUUGCAAGUUAAUGUAAAGCCUUGGAAAUCUAUGCUUGCAGUACAGUGCUAAGAGCCUUGGAACUAGAUCCAACUAAGAUGCAAAUAUCUAACACAUUGCAUACAGAAACUUUUUCUGAACUUUUGACUUGCUCCUCGAGACUUCCAGACAUUCCCUGGGCUGAACAGUGUCUCUCUCUGCAUGAGAUGGCUGUACAGAGGAAUUAAGACUUAGAGAUCCAGUCUGCUGAACAUGUGAGAAACCCAAAAGCAGGUAGCAAUUUACUUAAAAGUGAGAUCUUGAUGAACGAUGUAUUUAAGAGUAGGUAAAGUUAAGUCUUAAUGGCUUCUCAUCAAUUAAUUCAAGGUGAGGAAGUGUGUGUUUGGGGGAGUCUUACUUAUACUGACAUUAAAGAGAGUAGAUUUAGCUCUGAGGAAUACAGAUACCUUAUUAAAGGAAGCAGAAGGGAUGAAUAUGUCAUCAUUAUUUUUGCAGAUGAAUGGAGCAUUGCUGAUCCAAGCACUGGAAUCCUCAUGAUGGUUUCCACAGCUAUUCUAAGAGUCUCUUGGGUGGCACUAGCCUAUGCCAAAUGGACCUGUACCAAGUAAUCCCCAGGGCAAUCAUCUGGGAAUUAGCAAUUGCCAGGGAAACUUUCUAAAUAGUCACCUUCCCUACCACCCUGAUCUUGAGUGUUGAAUGCCAGGACUUCUCCAUCCAAAGAGGUCUCUCUGACAAACAUGGGCCACAGGCACAACAUAUUGUACUCCAUCCCUGAGAGUAUGCAGAAGACCUGCUAACUGUUAUCAGCUUGGGACGAUGACUUUUUGUCAUUCUCUCAUCCAUAACCUUUAAAGAGAGGAAGGCUACUUUUCAUACACAUUUUUCUGAGAGAACUGCAGCUAUGACAAUGUGGGUAGUCCUCCAUUUGCGGUUCCUAAGGAAAAUCUCCUUUUCAGUUUUCAUGUGCCAUCUGAGACAUUUAAAUACUUUCUUCAUGUUGCAAGUCUAUAUCGCAGCCUCUAAGGGCAACUUGGGUGGUUAGUCCUUGAGAUGGAUGUGUGCUCAAGAUGUUUCAGCAGAGCUUUUUAAAUUCUUUUCCCUCCAUUUCACCUGUUCCCCCCAUUUUUUUUCCUGGUAUUGACUGUAAAGACUCUGUGAAUAUCUUUAGACCUAACUGUGGAAAGAGUGCAGAACAAAAUAUCACAGAACAUCUUUCUUCACAGAGAGGACAGAUUCCUCUGUGCUGUAGAAUUUCUUCUGUGCUACUUGGAUGCUUAAUGCCCCCAAAAAGAGACACGUAAAACCUACCAAGACUAGAAGAAAACUUGCAGAAAUACUCAGUUGUUGUAGGAGAGAUGCUAAAGCUCUUCUCUCUCAACAGUUUUGUUAUUAAACUGAUAUCUCCCCUUUCACUGUAAGAUUUUCUAUUGUCCCUUGGAAAAAAAAAAAAAAAAAAGAGUCAUUCCUUCACUUUUUUCAGACACUUUUAAAAUGAUAUGUAGUUGUUUUAUCUGAUGUUUUUUUAAAAAAUAUAUUAUUUUUUUUAACUAAAGAUAUCCUCAGAAUAAGUAUUUUCUUCCCAAUAUAUUUCUUAAUAUUAUGAUUAUCUGUUUAUUCAUUUAUUUAUUUUAGUUCUCCGACUUUUAUAAAGGAUUACCAAAAAUACCAAUUAAUGAUGUACUGAAGUGGAAAAGUCAUAAUGGGUAUAAAGAUACUUCAGUAGAAAAGACAAAGAUUUUAAGAAUACUUUUUUCCACUUAGUCAUUUCCUAUAAUCAUUGUGAUCAUGCAAUGAAGCUGAUAUUUGUCAUCCAGGCAGACUGAAGCAAUGUGAGUGCUGAGUGAAAUGAUAUUAAAACAAAGAUUCUGAAGCCUCACACUUGAGUAUCUUCACCCUGAAUCUUUCUUCCUUUCAUGAACUAGGCAUAGAUUUCUUAGUUGUCUAAAAGCUGAUGACAGACACUCAAACUUACCAAUUCUGUUGAAUACAGUUCAAUGACAUUGAAUUCCUUGAAAAAAAAAAAAAAAUUAUCUACUACUGAAAGCAAAAGAAUUUAUUGGAUGAGGACUGAGGAGUAAGUGUAUUGUGGAUAUGUGUGUUCAAUGACUGAAUUAUUAAGGUGGCUAUAUUUAAUGUUUGGGGAUAUAUUUAGCAGUCACCUUCACAUGAAAUAAUAUAUCGACUCAAUUUCUGUUGAACUGAGCCACAAGUUUCAUACCCAGUUUUGCUUCUAGCUGAGGUAAAGCCUCAGCUAUAAAUUGCAAGCUGCAUCCAAGUCAGAUUUAAAUUAUUUUUUUUAGAUAGAAUUGGCAUUAUUUAUAUGAUUCAUUUAACAUGAAUAAUGUAUUAGUUUAACUGAAGUUGAAUAAUUCAAAUCAAAUGUUGGUAAACUUUCAAAGCCUUUUUAUAUGGAGAUGUAGAAAGAAUCAUAUCUCCUUUGAGACAUACUGAAUGUGUUUACAGUGGUAAUUUUAAACAAUGUUAAAAGAUCCUUAUUGAUACUAUGCAUGUUUUCUUCCUUUUUGUUUGGAGGUAAAAAAUCACUUUUGUUGUUGCAUGGCAGAUGGUAACCACAAAAGAUAUCAUAUUAGAUAUGUUUGAAACAGAUCGUGUGAAUUUAAAUUUUAUACACAGAUGCUUCACAACAAGCAGAGCUUUGUAGAAGAAGUGGUAAACAGAACGAAGUACUUGUGUUGCUGCAUGCACACGCACACAUAUGUAUUUGUAUAUACAUAAAUAAGGAUGUAAGGAUGUGUUAAGCUUUCCAGUAGAGUAGCAAUGGUACAUUAGAAGGCUCUGUAGUUGGAAAGCAAAAUCUUCUCAUUUUGAAUCUUGCUUCAUACACAUAGUAGAGCAAGACAACUGGAAGAAUACAUCUAAUAGAAAACACUUCAUUGAUUUAGAGUCGAGUUUGACUUUGUUUUCAUCAUCAUGCAUUGCAAGGUUUUAUGCUUUUUUUAGACAUGGUUUUUAGUCAUGGAACUGGGCCAAACUGUCCUGUAAACUGUUCACUCACAUAUAGAUCAUAUUAAUGUGUCUGAAAGUAAAAUGAAGCUUAAAAAAAAACUGGUAGAUUUACAUUUUUUCCUUUUGUGGAGACUGUACUAAAGAAAAUGUAAAUAGUUAGCAAAUAGGAAAUAUCCCAGAGCAAAGAUCUCCAGUUCUAACUUCCUCCACUGUCUAGGUUCCAGUACCAUGUAUAUGAUUAUCUUAUUUUUCUUAUAAGAAUCAGUUCCCCCAGCUUGCCCUUUGACAAGACCAGCACAAAUUCCUUUGCAGAAAAUAACAAGGGAGUGAAAGUAGAGUCAGGGUGAGGGACAAGGUGGUCCUAUUCUUUCAUCAGUCAUAGCCACAUAGCCAUAGACGUUCAUGGAGUUAAACUGGGGUGGUUGUAGUCUUAAGAUGAAUUAGGCACCUAGAACACCAAAAAAAAAAAAAAAAAAAAAAAAAAAAAAAAAAAAAAAAAGCAACAGAGUGGCAAAUUGCAGAAUGUACUUCAACUUUUUGAAAUAUGAUGGUAUUUAAAAACUGGAUUAUUUUAUUCUUUUGAAAUUCUAACAAGCUUACAGUCAAAAUGUGAGCUUUUUAGAGAACAGUAAUUUUCUGCAGGAAGGAAAUGAAGUGAAAAAGGUGAGUCUUAAACUGUAACUAUAGUAAAAUUAUUGUUACAGAAUAAUAAGAAAUUACACAAAUCAUAUGCGAAGAAAAAAUAUGCUAUAAAUUUCUCUGUGGCCUGCAAGGGUCACUGGCAACAGAAUGAAAUUAAUCUUUUCACAUUUUUAAUUCCUACCUCUUGGAUUCACUAGAUUGUGAACAGAAUCAGGAAAUAACAUAAAACCUGAAAUAUUAGAUGUUUCCAUAAAACAACUCUUCCCUUGGGCAAUUUUUUCUCACCAUUUGUAAAGCUUAAAUGUUGACAACAUAACAAUUGCACAAGCACAACAUGUGUUGAGCAAUAGGAAACCGGUACUGGUCAGAAAAUGGCUUGGAUAGGUCCAAAUGAUAGAAAAUUUUAUUUUUUUCUUCAGUUCUACUCCCUUCCAAAGAUACAAAACAAUAAUGCUGUCUGUCAUAAAUGUAGUAUUCUCUGACUUGCUUCACAACUUUUUAAUAUCAACAUAUUCAAAAUGACAUGUAAUUAACUUUUUUCCUACCUCUUUGGGAUGAAAACAGAAGUGUCUUAACACAUUUCAAGAAUAUAAAACCAAGUGGUCUGUUUGGACUUGUUUGGAUUUAGCAAGGGAUAUUUUGAAGCUCAGUUUCUAAUUAAUGCGACAGCUGCAUAUCACACUUCAAGGUUGUGUCCCAGUGGGUUUCAAUUCUCUUUGGACUGUAGAUAAAGAAAAUAAAGAUUGAUCUUCAGAUGUUGAAAAGUGUUAUAUAUUCUUUCACUACAACUAUCAUAUCAACCUAGAACACCUGAGGUUUUCAUAUAGUUUAAAACAGGUUUCAUUAAACUACCAGGGAUAUUGACAAUGAAGGCUGCAAGGCUUUACAACAUAAUUAGCUAAAAGUUAGAGAAGGAUACACUGUGUCAAAACAAGUCCUAAAGUUGACAGCUAUGUAGUUAUAGUUGUCCACAGAAAAAUGUAUGUGGACAGAGCCUCAGCCAAUUCCUCCCAUUCUAGGCACAUUGACUUAUUAACAGGCUGUAUCUAGAAUAAAAUACACGUCACAGUGAGUAUUGCUGGCCAAAUUUCUAAUCAUUUUCAGCGUAGUUCUAUAGUCUUUACUUCUUGUCUUGAGCAACCUUCUCUACUUGACCCUGUUUUAAUCAGGGUAUUUGGACUAGGUCAUCUACAAGUGAUCUCCUUCCUUCACAUUAUCUACAAUACAAAUUAGUAUAUCAUAAUUAAUAUCAUGAUCAUUUUUUUGUGUAUAUACAAAAUGUACGAGCUACCUGCCCACUUCCUUAUGUUUCUUUUUAGCUCUCUGCCACAGAAUUAUUUAUGAAAAAGCUGAAAUGUGAUGUCUGAGAAAUAUUUAUUUUCCUGAGUAAAACAUUACCUACUCUCAUUAUUGGAAAACAGUAGAAGUUCCAGGUCAUUAUCGUUUAUUUGACUGUUAAAAUCUGUUGCUGUCUGUGUGAUGAGUGAACCACACAUUCCCAUUCUGAUCCUUUGGCAAAUUAGCUUAUAAAGUGUCAUUGACCUUGAGAGUUUAUAUAUUUCAGUAAAUGCAGGGUAAAUCAUCCUCUUUCAUGAUGAAUCUGCAUUUCAUUUCCAGGAACAGGAACAAGAAAUACUCUAGAUCUUUCAUAGGACUUUGAUACUGGCAUAGUUAAUUACAAAAUUGUCAGGUAAGACAAGAAAUACAGUCCAGAAAUACCACAAAGUCUAGACUGUUUAAGUGGUACACCAUUGGGAACAGUUAACACGUUCUCCACUGAGUUUAACUGUAACAAAAGCUUUAAUGUAUCUAAAAAAGAGGAAAUGUCUUAUUCUGGAAGAAGCGAUUCUUUUCAUAUAAGAAUGGUUUAUGAUGACCAUGAUGAAUUGUUAAUGACAAAGCAGGGUGAAGUAAAACUGAACACUAAACAGUGCUACUGAGGUAAUACACCAGCAUAGAUCUAGAGCAUCAGUAUCUUAUCUGUAGAGCAAUAAAAUCAUACCUAUCCACAUAGCACAGGAUAGCUUAGCUAACUCCUAAAAAUAAUUUACCAUUAAUUCUCCUGACAAAGAACAAUGAGGUGCAUACAGUAUUUGCAAAUAUUUAACACAUUGCCUUGUUCCAUGGCACUUUGCUAUUAUAUCCAUUUUCUAUACAGUACCAUUUAUCAGCAUCUGUGAAUCUCAAAAUAGAGGGAAGCAAAACAGAUAUUAUUAUAACUAUUAGAAAAUGGAGAAAACAAACAAACAAACAAAUCAAACAAACAACAACAAAAAAAUGGAGGUGGUAAGUUAGAAGCAACCCCAGGAUUGAGAAAUACAACUGCAGUAAUCUGAAUUAAAUCCAUCACCAUUACCUGCUAAAUAAUCUACAAAAUACAAACAAAAUAAAAAUAGCACUAGAAAUAUCUUCACUUUGUUGUUAAGUAAAUUUUAUGCACUAAUCUUAACUCAUUUGUCUUAAAGUUCUCAGCUUUUGACAAAUGGUCCAGCUAUGUAAUCUGGCUGACAAAUUCUUCCAUUUUUGGCUGGAAUGCAAAGAGAAUGAGUUAUUUUUAAAAUGAGUUCAGAAUAAUUUUUGCUGUUACAUCAGAUGUAUGUGUCUGAUUUGGGAAAAAAAAAAAUAGAUCUGAAUUUUUACCUUUUAUUCCUCAGAGAAAGUUCCUUUAUAUUAGUACUUACAUAAAACAUAUCUGGAGAGUCCAUUGCAUGCCUACUGGCAAAUACAUUAACCGCAUACAGUAUUCUACAUUACAGUAUACAAGCCUUUCUAUGAUUCUAUGAGUUUUAGUUAAAUAUGUAAAUUACCUGAUAUUUACAGAUUAAAAAAAUCACUUAGACUUGUCUUAACCACUAGAUGUUUAUCUGUAUCUGUGAGUCAAGGUGAGGUGCAUUAGGAGAAAAAGGGAACCAAGUAUCUGCAGGGCUUUAAACUAAAACAGUGCAUGUUAAUCCAUCCAGAUAUGGCAUCAAGAAUUCAAGAAAUUUGAAAUAGCUGAUAUUUUGUCUAAAAUUUUUGCGCAUUUAUUUUGGCUAGACUCUUUUUGAGGAUCUUGUCAGAGAGUGUCAAGUCAAAAUCAAAGCAUACAAAUCUAUGGGCCCUGAUGGGAUGCACUGACGUGUGCUGAGGGAGCUGGCAAAGGUGAUCGUUGAGCCACUCUCUAUCAUCUUUGAAAGGUCCUGGUGAAUGGGAGAAGUGCCUGAAGACUGGAGGAUGGCCAGCGUCACUCCAGUCUUCAAGAAGGAAGGAGGAUCUGGGAGACUACAGGCACAUCAUCCUCACUUCUGUCCCUGGAAAGGUGAUGGAACAACUUCUGGAUACCAUCUCCAAGCAAUUGGAAGGAAGAAAAUUAUUAGGAGCUGUCAACAUAGAUUCAGAAAGGGAAAUAAUUCUUGACCAACCUGGUAGCUUUCUAUGAUGUCAUCACUGGCUGUGUAGGUGGGGGGUGAGCAGCAAAUUUUGUGUACCUUGACUUCAGAAAGAUAUAACAACAUCUCCCACAUCAUCCUUGUUAUGAAACUUAGAAAACAUGGGAUAGAUAAGUGGAUGAUGAGAUGGAUUGAGAGCUCACAACUGGCAGAGCUCAAAGGGUUGUCAUCAGUAAUGUAGACUCUGGUUGGAGGCCUGUAGCUAGUGGUGCUCUCCAGGUGUUUGCAGUGUCUCUGGUCUUGAUCAACAUCUUCAUCAACAACCUGGAUGAAGGGACAGAGUCCACUCUCAACAAGGUUAUUGAUGAUAUAAAGCUGGGAGGAGUGGCUGACAUACUAGAGGGCUGUUCUAUCAUUCAACAAGACCUGGAAUGACUGGAGAGUUUGGCCAGGAGGAACCUAAUGAGGUUUAAAAAGAGCAAAUGUAGGAUCUUGUGCUUGGGAAGGAAUAAUCACAUGCAUCAGUACAGGUUAGGGGGUUAUCUGCAGGAGAUGAGCUCUGUAGAGAUGCACCUUGGGGUCCUGGUGGAUGGCAAGAUAACCAUGAGCCAACAGCAUGCCCUUGUGACUAAGAAGGCCAAUGUUAUCCUGGGUGCAUUAAAAAGAUCAUGGCCAGUAGGUCGAGGGAUGUGAUCCUCCUCCUGCACUGAUGAAACCAAAUUUGGAAUACUGCAUCCAGUUCUGGGCUACUCAGUUCAAAAAAGACAUGGAUCUCCCAGGAGUCCAGUGGAAGGCCACAAAGAUGAUAAACAGCCUGGAGCACGUCCAGUAUGAGGAAAAGCUGAGUAAUCUGGGUCUGUUCAGCCUGGAGAAAAGAAAAAAGAAGGAGAUCUGAUUAAUGUUUACUAAUAUCUAACAGGAGCUAGGAGGCAAAUGGACUGAGGCCAGGCUCUUCUUGGUGGUGUGAAGCAAUAGGACAAAGAUCAAUGGCCUAAAACUUAGGAAGUUUCAUACAAGCAAGCAGAAGAAUUUCCUUAUAGUAGGGGUGAUGAAGCACUGGAACAAGUUGCCCAGAGAGGUUGUGGAGUCUUCUUCUACGGAAAUAUUUAAGAUCUGUCUGGAUGCCCACCUGUGUAAUCUAUUCUAGACUACCUGCUUUUGCUGGGGGUUUGGACUCAAUGAUCACUUGAGGUCCCUUCCAACCCCUGCAAUUCUGUGAUUCUGUGACUUUAGUCUAAAACAUUGCAUAUUGAUGCAUCCAGAUAUGACACAAAGAAUUGAAGAAGUUAGAAAAAGCUGAUCCUUUGUCUAAAAUACACAGCAAUAAAUGAUACAAUGAUACUAUGAUAGGUCCAUAGGAAGUUGUAGAAUAGUGUGUUAUGAUCAUACAAAUCUCAGAUCUGCUUCAUGCUUGUGUUUCAAUUUCUGAGGUUGUAUUAUAUUAUAUGAAGUUCAGAAAGUGACAUUACGUAUUGACACACAUCAUUCUUGAUAACCAGACCAGUCUUAAAAUACUCCAUUUUCAAAUGUGAAUUACAAAGACGUCCAAGAACAUUUUUAAUUCUAAUACAAAGUUAUCACUGAAUUCUUGGAUGUGCUACCUUUUCAUUUCUUAGUCUUGGGAAAUUGUACAGUAACCUAAGCACACCAUCAUCCAUAAUAGUCUUUGUACAAUGCACUAUCCGUCCAUAAUAAUUCUUCAUUAAAGAAUACACAUUAACAUCUUUUUAUACUGAAAUAUCUUCCUUUAAUCUUGAAAAAUGAGUAGGCUAACUGGUUGGAUUUAUCUGUUUAACAGCAUAAACGGGAAGCAGUGCUCAUUUCAUGUCUUUUGAUAUGAGAGCUAUUUUACUGCAGAGAAAAGAAACCUUUGAUAUGCCAUCCACUCUUCAGAAAUCUCCUGCCCGCUCAUGCAUCACUCAUAAGAAUACUAUCAAGCCCUCCAAGCAAGGUUUGCUCAUUCUCCUUGCCGCUUUCACUCUCUAAAUAAUUUGCAAUGUAAAUACAUCAGAAUAAAUUAAUAGGUAGUGAGGGACAGAGAGAACUGAGAGGAGGAAAGGGAUUUGGAUUUGGUAUGUUAUUUUGCCUUCACAGAAAGACUCUACAGCCUAAAUUAUAGAAGAAUACAGAAAUAAAUAAAAAAGACAAAGACAAGGCUCCAUACCUUUAUUAAUUGCAUUUCCUUUGUGUCUCAGCUCAUCAGCACAAAUUAGAACUUGAAAGCAUAUGAUGAUUUGCUACUUUUAUCAGUCACAGUGAAAAUGCCUCAGAGUUAAGAAAUAUGUUGUGUAAUGGCCAAGGCACUUCGGGAUCACUUCGUUCUUGCUGGCAUUUAUCUACUUUGUAUAUAUAUCUGUAUAUAUGCAUAUAUAAAGGACAACGUGCAACUCUUUUUGAGACAAUGUUGUGAACACCUGGACAUUACGAGUACUGGUACUUCACAUAGAAUGAGAUGAAAACAUGUCAAACUAUUUCAGUAAUGAUGGUGUUUGGGUACAGUUUUGAUUUAACACUGUUAAACAAAUUCACAACCUCACUAGGAAUAGAGCCUUACUAUUGAGUAUGUAUCUGAUUCCAGGAGGAAUGUGCUAUCUACAACAGGGAAUGGUUUUAAACUAAGACAGGGGAGGUUUAGGUUAGAUAUUAGGAGGAAGCUUUUCACAAAGAGGGUGGUGUGUGAAAAGACUUAUUAGAAGUCAUUUAUUAAAAGACAUUUUAUUCUAUAUCAUAUGAGACUUUUUAAAUAGAUAUUCACAUUUCAUUUAAUUUCCUCAUGACCAGAGUAUCCAUAAUGAACAUUAUAAAACCAACAAAGUUUUCAUAGAAUCAUAGAAUCACUAAGGUUGGAAAAGACCCACAGGUUCACCCAGUCCAAUCAUUCACCCAUCACUAAUAGUUCUCACUAAACCAUUUUUUAAGUCUCCUUCCAGAAAAGACGCGUACUUAAAGACAAAGAGUUCAUAUAUCCUUUAAAGUGAAAAACAAACAAACAAAUAACAACAACAAAAAUUUCCCAAGAUUAUCACUCAGAGGGUGGUGUCACACUGGAACAGGUUGCCCAAGGAUGCUGUGAAUGCCCCAUCCCUCCAGGCAUUCAAGGCCAGAUUGGAUGUGGCUCUGAACAGCCUGGUCUAGUGGUUGGUGACCCUGCACAUAGAAGCAGGGUUGAAACUGGAUAAUCAUUAUGGUCCUUUUCAACCCAGUCCAUUCUAUUAUUCUGUGUUUCAUAUAUAUAGCUUGACUUUUAAUAUAUAAUUCAAUGUGAUCAUCUUCCAUCUUCCUCCCAUUACUUCAAAAUGAUUUUAAUAAUUCCUUCUGAAGGACAGGUAACAGCUCAGAUAGCAUAUCCUUUUCUGUAACUGUUUCAUUAGAGCAUUUACUAAAGCAUUUUUUGUACCUACAUUCAUAUAAGAGAGACUCAGAGUAGAACAGUCGCACAUAAAUACUUUAUUUCUGAUUAAGAGACUGUAUAAGAUGAAUAUGCUAUAUCCCUUGCUUCUAUGUGCUUAUUGGAUGGAAUCUUGAGACUCACAGAGUCAUAGAAUCCCUAGCAUUGGAAGGGACCUCUGAAGGCCAUUUAGUCUAUCUUCCCAGCAAUGAACAGGGACACCACAGCUAGAUCACGUUACCCAGGACCCAAUCCAGCCUCACCUUGAAAGUCUUCAGGGACAGGACUUAUUUCAUCAUGUCAUCUAAAUUAGGCCAGAUGAAUUGUGUCUUAAUUUGCUUUUUUUUUUACUUCUGUGUUAAUUGCAAAGAUAGUUCAAACUGGCUGACAGCAUGGUAUGUCAUAGGAAUCUUACCCUCUUUGCUCUUUUAUCUACUCAGAACAACUACAGAUUCAGUGCAAUUACUAUGAUUAGUAAGAGUUUUUAACAGAUCAAGAUAAGGUCAAUUUUAAACAUGAACAGAAGGGGUAUGCAUAUACAUAUGGUAGUUGCUUUAAUUUUACUCUUCAAAGUCAGUUUUGAAAUGUGAUGUUUUUUGUAGACAGAUUUACACAAAAUUGACAAGAAAUCAGAAGAAUUAUUAUUUAUUCUGAUUAGACUGAAUUUAUUGGUGCAAAUAGGAUGAGUUUUGUUUGGGGCAGUGAACAGGAUUGCUCUAAAAAAAUAAAACCUCUGGAAAGCUUUAGUAUUUUUUAUCCUACAGUUCUCAGGGAAAGAUUAAGCUAUAAAUUCAAUUUAAUUUUAAUUGCUUUAGGUCUCUAAGGAACCAACACAUAACAAAUGGAAUCCCAGAGGUGAAAGUACUGAAUUGGUCCUAGCAUUAUGUUUAAAUGAAACGCACUAAAAACUUGUUAAUUAGCAAGAGCAGAAACUGAAAUUAUUUAGGAUUUUAUUUAAUCUGAGGCAAAUAGCUUUGAAUAUAACAAUUAUCAAAUUAUACUGUUUUAAUACUGUGGAGAUUUUUACAUUUGUGUAUGAAGAGGAAUUGGAUGCUUAAAACAAGAAGACAAUUCUUUAUUUCCGCUAGAGCAAAUGCAUUAUCAUCUGCUUGACCUAUGGCACAACAAUUAAGGAUUCAUAGCUCAAUUGUCUGGGGAGAUUACACAGAAUUCAUUCAUUGAGCUGAAAACGUUUAAUUAACACAGGAAUCAUAAGAAGAACAUACAUUACUGUGGUUUGUGGAAUCCUAUAGAACCUUAGGAGAAUAUUCUCAUUAAAACAACAAAACAAAAAACCCAUACUGGAAGGGAUUGAUUUGGUAAAUCUAUCUGCUGCCUGGGCAUUCUUCAAAGCCUUUCUGUAUAUGGGUAAAGUGUAUCUGUGAGCAAAUAUUUAGAAAUUCUCAACUGAGUUCCAGAUUUUCAGAGAUUAGUGAUUUUAAUGGGAAUAUCUUCACCAACACUGAGUACCAUAUUACAGACAAGGCAGGAGACUGAAGAAGUGCACAAAUAAAUGGAGUGGAAAGUGGAAUUAUGCAAGUUCAGAUUAAUCAAAUACUUAAGUGUCACCUUGUAACACCCUUCUUGCCAAUCUGAAGUAAUUUGAUGACUUCUCACUAGCACUCAAAUUCUUGCUGUAUCACACUAACUUUCCUUCCUGUCCUUUAGUUUUUCACAUUGAUUCAUAUCAGAUUCACAUAUAGAGGUUUGUUACACAUUAACAGUGCAAACACUUUGAUAGUUACAAUUCAAAAUAUCUUCAGCGGUAAAUAUUGAAAGAGGAUAUGUCCAAUCACAGUGGAAUUUCUGGCUAAAAGCAAAGACAUACAAAAUCAUUUGAAGUGUUAAAUAGAAAUCUACAGGCAAAUGAUGUUGUCAGAUAUCACAAUUUUAUCACAGAUUUCAUGGCUGAAAAUGCCCCAGGAUUACCAGCUUGAACAUAUGUAUUUAGGAGGUGAUAUAAAUGUGGGAAGGGAAAAGGAAAAAAAGAAACACAAAGAAGUAAUGUCAUACCAACACAGGGAGGAGAGUGUCACAGAAAGAGAGUAAAGCAUUAUGCACCUCACUUGUAAGAGGAAGGCAGAAAAAUAUUUAUUGAUAUACAGUAGAUAUAAGAUGGUAAUUUGAACAAAAGUGACAGUGACUUAACCAGAUUUGAGAUGACUAGAUAUCCUUGACCAUUUGUUACACAGAGGGUGGGGGGUGCGUAAUGAAUCUCAGCUCAAAUAUUAGUGGAGCUAGUAUAGCUUAAAAACAAUAAAUCAUUUACCAAUGUUCUGCUGGCAAGAUGUCACCAUGUCCCAGAUGAAUCUGCUCAGGCAUUAAGUAACAUUGGGAGGUAUCCCUACUCAAGGGGAGAUUCUAGUCUUCAGCCAGCUGCUUGCAAGAAGUACUGCCCAAAGGGUUUCUUAGGCUGCUUUCUAUUUAUGGGGAAGAUGACUGACUCAUAGGCACAGAACUUAAAAUUUGAUCUGUUGAACUAGGUGUCUGUCAUCAGGUGUCUGAGCACACAGUUUGAGACAAUAUGGUCAUUGUCAACUGCCUCUGGUGUAGCCCUGGUUGCUAUCCAUCCCAAGGGCAGGAUCUUUUGCACCUUACUAUAUGCACUAGUCCUUGGGCAUAACUACCAGGCUGGAUGGGGGAGCAAGGAGUGCACCAUCACAGUGAAGUACUACAAAUUUCACCAAAGAUGAGUGUUGAAAGACAGAGAAUGGCAGAAUUACAGGAACAGUGAAAUAAAAGAAAAUAUGGAAAUCACUUUGAAAGACUGUCAAGAAGAGAGGCAGGAGAAGUUGAACAGGUUUAGUCAAAAUGUGUAAUCAGAUGAGUGCUCCUGUGGACACUGUUUUAGAACACAAAUCUUUGAGCAAGUGAGGAAUCCUGAAGGCCGGUGAUAAAAAUCAGAAGGCAAUAUGAGUAAGAAGAAAAGGUAAUGAGAUGAGAACAUGUUUGUAGAAACUCAGUUUUGAGCUAAUCUGCACUAGGAAUGUUUAAUUUCACUACUUUCCCUUUUCCUUUCCCUUGGGAUUAGUUAUACUCUUAAAGAAGUAUAUAGACAUGCAAUAUUUUUCAGAAUCUUAUAGAGUAUCCUUUUUGUUGAUUUUUUAACCAUCCUAUCUCAGGUGGGUGAAAAGACAGAGAAAGCUGGAGAUGUUGUUGAUAAAAGCCAAGAUGUUGGAUAACAGGGAGACAAUGGAAAGUGAAGUCCAGAAUGCGAGGUCCAAGAAAACUUUCAUUUAUAAGACAAAAAUAUUUUUUGGAAAAGGUAGCAUGACAAAGCAGUACUGCAGAUUGAGAUGGGAGGUACAGGAUGAAAGCUUUAAAACUUUACUGUUGGCUACCUUCCAGAGGAUUUUCAUGACUGUCACUAAGGGUAGAAUUUGGCUUACUUACAACACUACUUUUCUUAAUUACACCACAUAUGCUGCUUGCUAUUUUUUCUUUUAUCUUCUCUGUGCUUCAUAGCUAUUUGUCACUGUGUAAAGGACAUUUUUUUCCUUCCUGUUAAGCAGUAAGAAAAGAUGGUAUGUCUGCUACACCUAUUUAGUUGCACAAGUGACUGAGUUGCUUCAGUAACAUUAAUUUGUUUUCAUCUCUCUUAAGUAAUUACUUGCCAAUAAAGCUGUUCCUUCAUUACUUUAGAAACCUUUCUUGUGUCUUCUGAGCAUUGUCUGCAUCUCAGGCAUAUGCCCUUUUCUCCACAGAUGCACCUAGCUUCAUCCAUUAUUGUUACUUCAGGAGACACAGGUUCUUAAUCAAGAGAAUGCUGUGUAAGGCCAUGUGAGCUUGUACUUUUCCAAUCAAUCCCAUCAGCUGCAUGCACAAACAUAAAUUAAACUACUGAGAAUCUAAGGAGAUUAUAAUGACUGCACUAACUUUCAACUUAUUUAAUAAAAUGGGUGUCUCCAACAGAGAUUCUUAUAAAAAGAAAAGUAAAAGAAAAAUUACUUUGCUGCUCAUGUCCGAAGAGCAACUAAAGAAAAAACAAGUUGAUAUAUUCCUGAAGAAAACCUCAGAAAAGUAAAAAACAGUUUGUUUUGUCUUGAGCUAUGUUUUAGUCUUGCAUAAAAAAAAAAAAAAAAGUGUAUUAAAUAAUCUGAUUGAAUUCUUGAAAGACAUUCUUGAAAUAUAUUUUUUCUUCAUGAAAGUAACCUUACUAGAGGGAAAUAUAAUUUAGUAUCUUUAGUAUAUUCUAGUUCAUUUUGAAGCUUUCUGAAUUGUAUAAUCUCAUCCUGGGUCUUUCUCCUUUCUACUGUAGAUUUCUGGUCUAAAUUUAUGAAUUAAGUGUUUUAAAUUUAUAGUUCUCUAAUACUUUCUGUCAUCUGUUAGGCAUAUGAGUAAUUCAGUAUUCAUAGACCAUAUUAUAGGGUGAACGUUACCCCUGCAUUUAUUGGGCAGCUGACUACUGAAAACUAUUUAAAUAUGGAAUUAUUGGAUCUCACACCAUCAAUUCCAUAACACUUAUAGAGAUGAUAAGCCUGAAGUAAGUGCUUUACACAUCACAAACCAGGAGUCAGGUAAUUAAGGCUCUGAGAAACCAAAAGAGUUUUCAAGAGGGCAAGAUGAACAUGUUUAACUAUACUAAUGCUAGAACCCUAAAUAAAACAAGAUGGAGUCAAUGAAAACCAGACGGAACAACCGGGAUAAAAGUAAACAAAAUUCAUCUCCAAUGACUGCAUUUGAUAGAAAUCCACUAAAUUCAAUGAAAGCAUGUUCAUAGUUACAAGGAAAUUAUCAGGCCCAAAACAGAAAAAUUAGAAAGAGAAGAAAAUUCAGAAGCAUUUUACCAAUGAAAUUGUAGCAGAAAAAGAUCUGAGGUUAUUUAAGCUUAGAGUUUACAGUUAGGAGGAUUACAGAUAACAUUACUACUUCACAAUAAAACAGUGCUUUGACAAUGUUAGUUCUGUACAGUCUAAACACUAGUAUUUUCUAGCUAGCUGGCAUAGAAACAGCAUUAAAGAUUAUCUGUUAUGCAAUAAUGAAAAAUAAAUGCUUUUGUCUUGCUAGUACAUGCUAGAAAACACAUAGAAAAGCCAUCACCUUACAAAAGAAUUUGCAACUUCCCAUUUUGCUUAGCCAAGCUGCCACACAACCACCUGUAAGAAGAUAGCCAGUGAAAUAAUCAGUGACUGCAUCUCACAGAUGCAUUAAUGUACAAGACUUCUAUAACUCACUCAUUGAACAUGUAUUUUUUUUUUCAGCAUAGAAAAUCUGAAAAAAAAUCCAAUGAAAAGAUUAGAAAUAAUUUUUCACCAUUAAUCCAACAAAUGAGAUCACAGAAAAGCUGAGCAUCAGGACUCUGUGUACUGCUUUCUAUGUUCAUCUUGAAUUGCUGAAUGUCUCUCUGAGAUCUUGGGGGUAAUCAGAGCAAAAUCCAUGUUGAGGAAUAUUCUGUAAAUGCGUUAUAUGUUCAGCACUAGUGUAUGUUGUGUUACUGGACUUACUGCAGGAGUGGAAAUAAAGCUCAGAAAGGAUUUUUCUGAUGACUGUGAAGUUCUGGUGAGAAUGAACAGGGCACUGAGGAGUUACAGAGAAGGUUUUCAAAGGUCUUCACUAGACUGUAAUGACUGAGUAUUCUCAAGAUCAGUAGGUUUUAAAUAUGCAAACAGAUCUCAAACCGUCAGGUAAUAAUAAGCUCCCAACAAUAAAUGUAAAAACCAAGAUAGAGUUUGUCAUAUUUAUUUGCAGGUAACAGGUAUGAUGUCUGGCCUCUCCUUUUGCUGCAGAUUUCUGUAGGUUGAGUAGGUUACAGCAGUGUACAUUCUACUUGUAAAAAAAAAAAAAAAAAGUAGUACACAUCCCUUUGUGCCUCAGUCCUACUAGUAUUCAUAAACCCACUGCUUUCCAAAGAAACCAAUGUCUGAAACAGAUCCAACUGAUUGUUCAGCAGGUAGCAAUGCAAUAUCAUAUUUUGACUUCUGUAUACAAAGGGAAAAGUAAUUAUUUGAAGAGCUUGGUUGGCAAGUUUUCCCUUUGUGAUCCUGUUCCCUACAAUAAAAUGCCUUUGUGGAAAAUUCUGUUCAUAUUCCUAAGGAAGGCAUUAGCCCUGAUUGUUACAGCGGCAUAGAAGGAAAUUAUAUUAGUUCCUUAGAUACCAGCAAAAUUUAUCCUUUCCACAAUCAUUGCCUUCUACAGCCUAAUUACAUCUUUGGCAAAGGUGACUUCCUCUCAGCUCUUGAACUUUCUUUAGUUCAUGUAGAUUAAAAUACCACUUGAUUUAUGAAAUAAUCCCCAUUCUUCCAUUCUUUCUUACUCCUGUCAAUAUCUGUAAGUUCUGAGCAAAAUUAUUUUCUAAUUAUUUUCCAGGUCACCAUUAAAAACAGUAGUUAUUCCAUUGAACAUCCUGGCAAUCCUCUAUGCUCUUAAGUACAGACAGACCUGAAUAUAUGCAAUGAUUUGUCAGCUUUUCAGUCUGUGCCCUGACCUUUAUUAUAUCAGUACAGGUGGACUGUGACAGUCCAGCAAAGAUGGCCUCACUGAAAGAUUUCUUUUCAUCUAUUCACAUUUUAAGCCACAGAUAUCUCUGGUCUAUUGAGCAGCCUAUUUCUGUCCUGAUUUACACAUUUCCUAAUCCCUGACAGCACUUUCUUCUCUGCUGUGGUAACUCAGCCACAGUUAUUGUCUGUUUGUUUCUAAAAGGUUGUCUCUAUGCUCUAGACAAGUUUUCUCAAAUCUGAUAUUUUACAGCAGAACCUGCCCUUUUUUCCCCCUGCCCCACUGUACUUCUUUAUAUCAACACCCUUUCACUACAAAAAAAAGAUCUCAGGUUACGAGGUGGACAGGCUUUGGUUCUCUCUCUUGGAAGGCAGAGACAUUCCUUUUGUUUGAUUCUGUCCAGUUUAUUUGAAACAUGUUGUUCAACCCAUUCUAAUGUCUGCUUGAGGUCUCUGGGCAGGUUUGUCAUCUCCAGCCUGCUGUUGUACUAGCCUGUCUGCUGACUCCAUUCCAUCCCGCUGACUUGAUUUCUUUCUUUCCAUCUACAGCUACAGUCAAAGAGCAGUGAUUAAUAAGUUUCAACAUGCUAACACAUGAUUAUAAUGUAUUUUAUUUAACUUUAUUUAUUUCGUUUCAUUUUUAUUUUAUUAUGUUUUUACCAGAUACCCAAAUAUUUCAUACAUAUACUCCAGGCUCCAAGUGUGAAACUUGAAAAACAAAUAGCUUUAAAUGAUGAAAAGCCUGGGAGAGGUUCACAUUGCUAAUUAACUACCAUGUUACUUUUCUGCAAUGACACAUGGAAGUGUGGAAGUUAUCAGUCUGAACAAAUAUAAUAACAGUAGUUAAUCACAUCUUGAGGUUUUUGAGAUUUUACAGAGAAAGUAGAAGUGAAAUACAUGUGAAGCUAUGAUUUGAAUUAUCAUGCUGCCUUAAAUAUUAUUUGCAUGCGCACAACGCAUAGGCUAUAAAAGACUACUGCCUGCUUGAAAGGAUUUACAAUCUAAGGGAGUGCCAGCAAAAAAUGAUGAGCACUGAGGUUUCUUCCCUGAGGUUAUACUAUCUGCUAGUGACAAAAAUGAAACUUGGGUGUUACAGUGCUCAGUCCAAUUCUGUUUUUCCCAAACUAAACCAUAUUCUGGAAAGUUGAGCAUGGAGAAAUCUUGCUCCACGUGCGUUAUCACUCACAAUGUCUCCCAAAAGGUCAGACCAGGAAGGCUGGCUUCUGACUGUAAAGGAAUUAGCUUUCAGUCAAACACCUUCCCUUGGAGUGGUGACAGAACAGUAUACCACUAAAGGCUUUACCUUCUUUGCAGUUUUACAAGGGUACAGAGAUGGGGCAUGUAGGAGAGGAAGAGAAUUCUUUAAACUGUACCAUCAAUACUAUUAACCCAUCAUACAUUUCAUUAUGCCUGGCUUCUUAAAGAACAAGAUAUGUGUAUGACUGAAUGACAAUACAUCUUUACCUUAUCUGCUAAUGCACUCUAAAUCUGUUCUUUUUAAGGGUCAGCAAUGUAGUCAUGAGCUAACUUGGAAGUGUAGAAAAUUAAGGGAGAUCAGGUGUCAUGUCUUGGAAAAACUUUACAAAACUAUUAAAGGUUAGGCUUAGAGAUAGUCAGUAAUGAAAGGUUGCUUAUUUAAAACCCUCCAACCUCAUCAAUCACAUUUACAAUACUCUUUAAAACGUGUAUUUUAAUUAAUGGCUGGAAAAACAAAAACAAACAAACAAAAAACAGUCCAAAGAGCUAGGGGUCUUUCAUCUUCCUGCCCUUCAUGGCAAUACGCACAUUGAUACCAUUUUUUUUCUGAUAAUCAGUGAAUAUGUUUAUGUCUCCCUGGCAAGCACAUAACCUGCUUAGAAUACUAUAUUUAUUUUAAAAGCUGUAAAUCACACCAGCACAAAGCAGAAUUUCUCUGAACAGUAGAUUCUGAUAAAAGUUCUUAUUCCCAAGUGCUUCACACAGCAGAACAAGACAGAUAAUAGCAUGAAACACAACGAUAUGUAAACACAAUGUACCCAGAAUAAAUUUUUUAGUCAUAAGGUAAAUAAUAGAGAAAAAUUAAGAGAGAUAGGCAAGGGGGGGAAAGCAUAUGGUUUUGAACGACCAUUUGAGAGAGAUGAAGGAGAAAAUUAUAUAAGAAGAUACUGUACUAUUAUUUUGCCAUUUAUUCUUAGAGAAAGGCCUAGGGAACCAACCAUGCCUGGAGCUGUUCAUGUCACAGGAAAAAAAUAAUCAAAGAAGACAUCCUAAGUCAACCUGCCCGGUUCAACAGAACAUGACUACGGAAUAAACUUUGAUACACAGUAUUUAACUACCACCAGGGCAAAGUUUCCUCUAACAGCAAAACCAUAGAAACGUAAGACCCUUGUUGACAUAAACCAGUGUUUAUACAUAUUUGCAUAUACCAUUCCACAAGACGUGGCCAGGUAAAGGCAUUGAAGAUGUUUAUGUGGUGUUCUUAGUUGGAAAUUCAGAGGAACCGAGACCCUGCAUUGAGCAGAAACUGUGCUACAAACAUCAGGGUAAAAGGCUUAAGAGGUUGGAGGGGAAGUACAGGAGUAAAGUAAGUUGCUGAAGGCAAAAGUAAGAAGAGAUAGUAGGGUUAGGAUUUAUUUUACAAAGUUGCAAGUAUUUCUGAGUUAGACUCCUCACAUGUAAUUGUAAAUCUCCACAGUAACGCAUAUAUAUAUGUAAUAUAUUUUAUAUUAUAUAUAUUUUACCAGAGAAUUGCCCAUUCUGUGUGUAGACUGAAAAGAGAUGAAAACUCAAUGUUGUAAAUUUAUACCUGAUUAUCUAAAACUCAUUAGAUAUCUCCUGAGUCUUGGGGUGAUGUUUCACCAGAUGGUCAAACAACCUUUCAAAGUUAUUUGGAACAGAACCAAAACAACUUCAAUAAUGAAAUCAUCCUUCAGGACCACAAAGUGUACUCAAAUCCUUGAUACUCAGAAUUAAUCUUAUAUGUUUACUCUUCUUUUGGAAAAUAUAAAUA
rnacentral:lncRNA from 1 species